rnacentral:rRNA from 1 species
UACAGAGGGUGCGAGCGUUAAUCGGAAUUACUGGGCGUAAAGCGUGCGUAGACGGUAGCGUAAGUCAGAUGUGAAAGCCCCGGGCUUAACCUGGGAAUUGCGCUUGAUACUCUGAGACUGGAGUACGGGAGAGGAGAGUGGAAUUCCCAGUGUAGAGGUGAAAUUCGUAGAUAUUGGGAAGAACACCAGUGGCGAAGGCGGCUCUCUGGACCGUAACUGACGCUGAGGCGCGAAAGCGUGGGGAGCAAACAGG